AGAUUGAACGCUGGCGGCAUGCCUUACACAUGCAAGUCGAACGGCAGCACGGGGGCAACCCUGGUGGCGAGUGGCGAACGGGUGAGUAAUACAUCGGAACGUGUCCUUUCGUGGGGGAUAACCAGUCGAAAGACUGGCUAAUACCGCAUGAGAUCUCACGAUGAAAGCGAGGGACCGCAAGGCCUCGCGCGAUUGGAGCGGCCGAUGUCGGAUUAGCUAGUUGGCGGGUAAAAGCCCACCAAGGCGACGAUCCGUAGCUGGUUUGAGAGAACGACCAGCCACGACUGGGACUGAGACACGGCCCAGACUCCUACGGAGGCAGCAGUGGGAAUUUGGACAAUGGCGCAAGCCUAGAUCCAGGCCAUGCCGACGUGUGUCGAAGAACGGCCUUCGGUUGUAAAGCACUUUUCGGCCGGAACGAA
rnacentral:rRNA from 1 species